AGCAAUACUUAGUGGCAGACGGGUGAGUAACAUGUGGGUAUCUACCCUUUGGCCUGGAAUAACACGAGGAAACUUGUGCUAAUACCGGAUAAGUCUUUACGGAGAAAGCUUUAUGCACCAUUGGAUGAGCCCGCACUUGAUUAGUUUGUUGGUAGGGUAAUGGCCUACCAAGACUAUUAUCAAUAGCUGAUUUGAGAGGAUGAUCAGCCACAUUGGGACUGAGACACGGCCCAAACUCCUACGGGAGGCAGCAGUGGGGAAUCUUGCACAAUGGAGGAAACUCUGAUGCAGCGAUGCCGCGUGAGUGAAGAAGGCCUUUGGGUUGUAAAGCUCUUUCGUCGGGGAAGAAAAUGACUGUACCCGAAUAAGAAGGUCCGGCUAACUUCGUGCCAGCAGCCGCGGUAAUACGAAGGGACCUAGCGUAGUUCGGAAUUACUGGGCUUAAAGAGUUCGUAGGUGGUUGAAAAAGUUGGUGGUGAAAUCCCAGAGCUUAACUCUGGAACUGCCAUCAAAACUUUUCAGCUAGAGUAUGAUAGAGGAAAGCAGAAUUUCUAGUGUAGAGGUGAAAUUCGUAGAUAUUAGAAAGAAUACCAAUUGCGAAGGCAGCUUUCUGGAUCAUUACUGACACUGAGGAACGAAAGCAUGGGUAGCGAAGAGGAUUAGAUACCCUCGUAGUCCAUGCCGUAAACGAUGUGUGUUAGACGUUGGAAAUUUAUUUUCAGUGUCGCAGGGAAACCGAUAAACACACCGCCUGGGGAGUACGACCGCAAGGUUAAAACUCAAAUGAAUUGACGGGGACCCGCACAAGUAGUGGAGC
rnacentral:rRNA from 1 species